rnacentral:rRNA from 1 species
GACGAACGCUGGCGGCGUGCUUAAUACAUGCAAGUCGAACGGAAAGGCCCUGAUCUUGUGGGGUGCUCGAGUGGCGAACGGGUGAGUAACACGCGGGUAACCUGCCCCUGACUUUGGGAUAACUUCAGGAAACUGGGGCUAAUACCGGAUAGGAUCUCCUGCUGCACGGUGGGGGUUGGAAAGUUUCGGCGGUUGGGGAUGGACUCGCGGCUUAUCAGCUUGUUGGUGGGGUAGUGGCUUACCAAGGCUUUGACGGGUAGCCGGCCUGAGAGGGUGACCGGCCACAUUGGGACUGAGAUACGGCCCAGACUCCUACGGGAGGCGGCAGUGGGGAAUAUUGCACAAUGGGCGGAAGCCUGAUGCAGCAACGCCGCGUGCGGGAUGACGGCCUUCGGGUUGUAAACCGCUUUCGCCUGUGACGAAGCGUGAGUGACGGUAAUGGGUAAAGAAGCACCGGCUAACUACGUG